rnacentral:rRNA from 2 species
UGCAAGUCGAGCGGAUCUUCAUUAGCUUGCUUUUGAAGAUCAGCGGCGGACGGGUGAGUAACACGUGGGCAACCUGCCUGUAAGACUGGGAUAACUUCGGGAAACCGGAGCUAAUACCGGAUAAUCCUUUCCCUCACAUGAGGGAAAGCUGAAAGACGGUUUCGGCUGUCACUUACAGAUGGGCCCGCGGCGCAUUAGCUAGUUGGUGAGGUAAUGGCUCACCAAGGCAACGAUGCGUAGCCGACCUGAGAGGGUGAUCGGCCACACUGGGACUGAGACACGGCCCAGACUCCUACGGGAGGCAGCAGUAGGGAAUCUUCCGCAAUGGACGAAAGUCUGACGGAGCAACGCCGCGUGAACGAUGAAGGCUUUCGGGUCGUAAAGUUCUGUUGUCAGGGAAGAACAAGUACCGGAGUAACUGCCGGUACCUUGACGGUACCUGACCAGAAAGCCACGGCUAACUACGUGCCAGCAGCCGCGGUAAUACGUAGGUGGCAAGCGUUGUCCGGAAUUAUUGGGCGUAAAGCGCGCGCAGGCGGUUCCUUAAGUCUGAUGUGAAAGCCCCCGGCUCAACCGGGGAGGGUCAUUGGAAACUGGGGAACUUGAGUGCAGAAGAGGAGAGCGGAAUUCCACGUGUAGCGGUGAAAUGCGUAGAGAUGUGGAGGAACACCAGUGGCGAAGGCGGCUCUCUGGUCUGUAACUGACGCUGAGGCGCGAAAGCGUGGGGAGCGAACAGGAUUAGAUACCCUGGUAGUCCACGCCGUAAACGAUGAGUGCUAAGUGUUAGAGGGUUUCCGCCCUUUAGUGCUGCAGCAAACGCAUUAAGCACUCCGCCUGGGGAGUACGGCCGCAAGGCUGAAACUCAAAGGAAUUGACGGGGGCCCGCACAAGCGGUGGAGCAUGUGGUUUAAUUCGAAGCAACGCGAAGAACCUUACCAGGUCUUGACAUCCUCUGACAACCCUAGAGAUAGGGCGUUCCCCUUCGGGGACAGAGUGACAGUGUGCAUGGUUGUCGUCAGCUCGUGUC